rnacentral:rRNA from 1 species
UACGAAGGGGGCUAGCGUUGCUCGGAAUCACUGGGCGUAAAGGGUGCGUAGGCGGGUCUUUAAGUCAGGGGUGAAAUCCUGGAGCUCAACGUCCAGAACUGCCUUUGAUACUGAAGAUCUUGAGUUUCGGGAGAGGUGAGUGGAACUGCGAGUGUAGAGGUGAAAUUCGUAGAUAUUCGCAAGAACACCAGUGGCGAAGGCGGCUCACUGGCCCGAUACUGACGCUGAGGCACGAAAGCGUGGGGAGCAAACAGG